GGGGUUGUGGCUCAGCGGAGAGCGCUCGCCUAACAUGAGUGAGGCCCUGGGUUGGAUCCUCAGCACCACA
rnacentral:tRNA from 1 species